rnacentral:rRNA from 1 species
GACGAACGCUGGCGGCGUGCCUAAUACAUGCAAGUAGAACGCACAGUUUAUACCGUAGCUUGCUACACCAUAGACUGUGAGUUGCGAACGGGUGAGUAACGCGUAGGUAACCUGCCUGGUAGCGGGGGAUAACUAUUGGAAACGAUAGCUAAUACCGCAUAAUAUUAAUUAUUGCAUGAUAAUUGAUUGAAAGGUGCAAAUGCAUCACUACCAAAUGGACCUGCGUUGUAUUAGCUAGUAGGUGAGGUAACGGCUCUCCUAGGCGACGAUUCAUUCUCUACCUGAUAGGGUGAUCGGACACACUGACUGUGAAAUUUCUCCAGUCUCCUACGCUAGGUUUUUCUGUUUUUCUUCC